GAGGAUCGGCAAUAAUUGGAUGGCAAUAAUUGGAUGGCGUUGCAGCUGUUGCGCCUCUGCUGAACGCCCAGCCAGCGCGGAUUCACUUUUCACACAAAUCAACCGGAGGGAUUGUUGCUGCCUGCAAUCAAUAACUCAGCGGAGUGAGUUGCUCAAACUAGAGGCGUCCCUCGUCCGGCUCUUUGAGGGCCGUCCGGAUUGAGUCCCAGCGCUCUGCUUUCCAAACAAAGAAGUGGGCACCAAAACGCAGGACGAGAUUUUUAAUCCCCACUUCCACCACGACCCCGAGUGCCAAAGAAGAGUUGCAAACUGUGAAGUAACUUCUAUGAAGAGAUGAAGUAAAGAACGGAAGGCAAAUGACUGUGGCAGUAAAGAAGUGUAUGUGGAACGAAUGCAGGAAUUUGGGAACUGAGCUGUGCAAGUGCUGAAGAAGGAGAUUUGUUUGGAGGAAACAGGAAAGAGAAAGAAAAGGAAGGAAAAAAUACAUAAUUUCAGGGACGAGAGAGAGAAGAAAAAC
rnacentral:sRNA from 1 species